rnacentral:rRNA from 1 species
CCUACGGUGGGCAGCAGUGAGGAAUAUUACACAAUGGGCGCAAGCCUGAUGCAGCCAUGCCGCGUGUGUGAAGAAGGCCUUCGGGUUGUAAAGCACUUUCAGCGGGGAGGAAGGCGGUGAGGUUAAUAACCUCAUCGAUUGACGUUACCCGCAGAAGAAGCACCGGCUAACUCCGUGCCAGCAGCCGCGGUAAUACGGAGGGUGCAAGCGUUAAUCGGAAUUACUGGGCGUAAAGCGCACGCAGGCGGUCUGUCAAGUCGGAUGUGAAAUCCCCGGGCUCAACCUGGGAACUGCAUUCGAAACUGGCAGGCUAGAGUCUUGUAGAGGGGGGUAGAAUUCCAGGUGUAGCGGUGAAAUGCGUAGAGAUCUGGAGGAAUACCGGUGGCGAAGGCGGCCCCCUGGACAAAGACUGACGCUCAGGUGCGAAAGCGUGGGGAGCAAACAGGAUUAGAUACCCUAGUAGUC